CCUACGGGGGGCAGCAGUGGGGAAUAUUGGACAAUGGGGGGAACCCUGAUCCAGCCAUGCCGCGUGUGUGAAGAAGGCCCUCGGGUUGUAAAGCACUUUCAGUGAGGAAGAACGCCUGGUGGUUAAUACCCAUCAGGAAAGACAUCACUCACAGAAGAAGCACCGGCUAACUCCGUGCCAGCAGCCGCGGUAAUACGGAGGGUGCGAGCGUUAAUCGGAAUUACUGGGCGUAAAGCGCGCGUAGGUGGCUUGAUAAGCCGGUUGUGAAAGCCCCGGGCUCAACCUGGGAACGGCAUCCGGAACUGUCAAGCUAGAGUGCAGGAGAGGAAGGUAGAAUUCCCGGUGUAGCGGGGAAAUGCGUAGAGAUCGGGAGGAAUACCAGUGGCGAAGGCGGCCUUCUGGACUGACACUGACACUGAGGUGCGAAAGCGUGGGUAGCAAACAGGAUUAGAUACCCUGGUAGUC
rnacentral:rRNA from 1 species